rnacentral:misc_RNA from 1 species
GAUGAAGAACGUAGUGAAAUGCGAUAAGUAAUGUGAAUUGCAGAAUUCAGUGAAUCAUCGAAUCUUUGAACGCACAUUGCGCCCGCCAGUAUUCUGGCGGGCAUGCCUGUUCGAGCGUCAUUUCAACCAUCAAGCCUCAGGCUUGUGUUGGAGCCCUGCGGCUGCCGCAGCCUCCCAAAACCAGUGGCGGGCUCGCUAUCACACCGAGUGCAGUAGUUUACUCUUCGCUCAGGGCGUGUGGCGGGUGCUAGCCGUGAAACCCCCAACUUCUCAAGGUUGACCUCGGAUCAGGUAGGAAUACCCGCUGAACUUAAGCAUAUCAAUAAGCGGAGGA